rnacentral:rRNA from 1 species
UACAGAGGUGGCGAGCGUUGUCCGGAUUGACUGGGCGUAAAGGGCGCGUAGGCGGCUUGGUAAGUCAAAUGUAAAAUCUCUGGGCUUAACCCAGAGUUCGCAUUUGAAACUGCUUUGCUUGAGUAUAGGAGAGGAGAGUGGAAUUCCUGGUGUAGCGGUGGAAUGUGUAGAGAUCAGGAAGAACACCGGUGGCGAAGGCGGCUCUCUGGUCUAAUACUGACGCUAAUGCGCGAAAGCUAGGGGAGCAAAC